rnacentral:misc_RNA from 1 species
GUUGGUUAGAGCGCGCGCUUGAUAAGCGUGAGGUCGGAAGUUCAAGUCUUCCCAGGCCCACCAUUUUGAUCGAGUGCGGAGCAUUCGUCUUCUGGUACGGGGCCAUAGCUCAGCUGGGAGAGCGCGUGCUUUGCAAGCAUGAGGUCGUCGGUUCGAUCCCGUCUGGCUCCACCAGAUGGAAUUGAAGCUCGAGAAUGCGCCUUUGCAGGAAGCUCUGUUCAUAUCGUCCGCGAAACAUCACUUCGCACUCAUUGGUCCGGAUGGACGGUGACGUGCGUGUUUUCUGACAUCGUAAAGAGGAGAUCGAUCCGAGUUUGGAUCAAGCGAAGCAAUUCGCCUGAGCCAUUCAUUAUCUCCGGGAUCAUUUCGGCGCUCGCUUCAAUCGUGAGAUUGGAUGCGGGUUGUAAAUGAUCCCUUUUAGCGAGGCUUGACCGCCUCGCUAUCGGGCCGAUCUUACGAAGCAAGCUGGUCUUUCUAGUCAAUGUCCGGCUGCGCAAUCGCAUUCAUCGAGGAUGCGUGCCUUCAAUGGCAGUUGUGCAGACAACAUUCUGCCGAGUGUGUGGACAUUGAUAAUGAGAGCAAUCAAGUGCCUUAAGGGUGUUCGGUGGAUGCCUUGGCGCUGAGAGGCGAUGAAGGACGUGCUACGCUGCGAUAAGCCGUGGGGAGCUGCGAAGAAGCUUUGAUCCGCGGAUUUCCGAAUGGGG